GCACGGGUGGUUCAGUGGUAGAAUUCUCGCUUGCCACGUGGGAGGCCUGGGUUUGUCUCCAGGCCCAUGUA
rnacentral:tRNA from 1 species